AUUGAACGCUGGCGGAAGGCCUAACACAUGCAAGUCGGGCGGGAGGGGGAAGGGGGAGGAAUGUAUGGGGAUCUGCAUGUAGGCGGGGGAUUAGUACUGGAAAGGGUAGCUAAUACCGCAUAGCGUCAGAUAGACCCUUCUGGGAGUAGCGAGGAGGUGAGGUAACGGGUCACCUAGGAGACGAUCCCUAGCUGGUCUGAGAGGAUGAUCAGCCACACUGGGACUGAGAAACGGCCCAGACCCCUACGGGAGUCAGCAGUGGGGAAUAUUGCGCAAGGGGCGCAAGCCUGAUGCAGCCAUGCCGCGUGUAUGAAGAAGGCCUUCGGGUUGUAAAGUACUUUCAUUCGGGAGGCGUUACCGACAGAAGAAGCCCCGGCUAACUCCGUGCCAGCAGCCGCGGUAAUAC
rnacentral:rRNA from 1 species